rnacentral:rRNA from 1 species
UACGUAGGGGGCUAGCGUUGUCCGGAAUCAUUGGGCGUAAAGCGCGCGUAGGCGGCCCGGUAAGUCCGCUGUGAAAGUCCAGGGCUCAACCCUGGAAAGCCGGUGGAUAUUGCCGGGCUAGAGUCCGGAAGAGGCGAGUGGAAUUCCUGGUGUAGCGGUGGAAUGCGCAGAUAUCAGGAGGAACACCGAUGGCGAAGGCAGCUCGCUGGGACGGUACUGACGCUGAGGCGCGAAAGCGUGGGGAGCGAACAGG